rnacentral:lncRNA from 1 species
GUACCAAAAAAUUAAAAAAAAUAAAAACCACAUGAAUGAGUAGAUGUAAAGGAACGAGUCACAAGGUUACACUAUCAUCCAUUCUCUGAAUUCCUCUGAGUCACAGACCAAAAUGACAGUGAUUUAUGACCCACUGACAAACGGAUUUUAGUAUAAAUAAGAAACCAGAUACCAGUUGAUGCGGAAAGAAUUAUGGGUAACACAAAAUAAUACUUGAGAUCAAAAUGACAGAGUAAUGAUCAGCAGCAAAAUACAGACUCUCUGGGACCUUGAAUCCAGACACACAGAAAAUAACAACUUGGAAAAGAGAAAAAGAAAAGCGUUAGAUCUCCAGGAAUUGGAAAGAAACUGAACAUUAGAAACUGCAGAGAAGCUGGACUAAUGGAGCACAAUGCAGAGGAAAGAAUGAAGCAAACGGGAGAGCUCACUCUGGCUCCUGGGGAGAGGAACCUAUCUCUACAGACACAAGGUCCAGAAGCUCACUUUACAGCAAAGCCAAGGUCUGAGAGACAAGCGCUGGCGAAAGAAAGUUUUCACUCAGUGACCAAAGAAUGGAAAACCAGGAUCCAUGCUCACGGAUCAAAUUCCAGUCAUGGCUCCUGGUGUCUUUAGUCCUGAAGGAGAAAAGGAAAGAUCAGGUGUCUUAGACGUUCCUCAUUGCUGGGACAGGAUACCUGACGCCUGCAACUUAAAGGAAGAGAGGUUUAUUUUGGCUCACACUUCACAAGUUUUCAUCCACAUCAGGCAGAAACAGCAUAGCAGAAGGGCCUGGAGCGGGGAAAGCUGCUCAGCUCAUGGUGGCCAGCAAGCAGAGCAAGGAGCCAGGAAGGGAGGUGGACGCUUCCAGGCCACCUUCCAACAGCACACUCAGCUGCGGAACCACCAGCA